UACGUAGGGAGCAAGCGUUGUCCGGAUUUAUUGGGCGUAAAGAGCUCGUAGGCGGCUUAGAAAGUCAGGUGUGAAACCUCCAGGCUCAACCUGGAGACGCCACUUGAUACUUCUAUGGCUUGAGUUCGGUAGGGGAACACGGAAUUCCUGGUGUAGCGGUGAAAUGCGCAGAUAUCAGGAGGAACACCGAUGGCGAAGGCAGCUUACUACGGGAACAUUGACACUGAGGCACGAAAGCGUGGGGAUCAAACAGG
rnacentral:rRNA from 1 species